rnacentral:tRNA from 3 species
GAGAGAUUAGCUCAUCUGGAUAGAGCGACAGCCUCCGGAGCUGUAGGUGGCCUGUUCGAGUCAGGUAUCUCUCA